rnacentral:rRNA from 1 species
CGGACGGGUGAGUAAUGUCUGGGAAACUGCCCGAUGGAGGGGGAUAACUACUGGAAACGGUAGCUAAUACCGCAUAGCGUCGCAAGACCAAAGAGGGGGACCUUAGGGCCUCUUGCCAUCGGAUGUGCCCAGAUGGGAUUAGCUAGUAGGUGGGGUAAUGGCUCACCUAGGCGACGAUCCCUAGCUGGUCUGAGAGGAUGACCAGCCACACUGGAACUGAGACACGGUCCAG